GACGAACCGAGCGAACGUUGUUCGGAAUAACUGGGCUUAAAGGGCGCGUAGGCGGGCCGCCAAGUUCGAGGUGAAAUCCUCCGGCUCAACCGGAGAACUGCCUCGAAUACUGGAGGCCUCGAGGCGGGUAGGGGCGUGCGGAACUGUGGGUGGAGCGGUGAAAUGCGUAGAUAUCGCUUGGAACGCCGACGGUGAAAACAGCUCGCUGGGGGUGUGCUGACGCUGAGACACGAAAGCCAGGGGAGCGAACGGG
rnacentral:rRNA from 1 species